rnacentral:rRNA from 1 species
AUGUAGCAAAUCAAGAGUUGUUUAAAGGGGGUACAGCCCCUUUAAAAAAGAACACAAUCUCUUCUAGCGGAUAGUUCCCUAUGACACCCAACAACUGUGGGCCUUUAAGCAGCCAUCAACAAAGAGUGCGUCAAAGCUCUACCAUCAAAAAUCCAAAGACAGAAUGAAUCCCUUAGCCCUAACAGGUUAAUCUAUAAUAAUAGAAGAAUUAAUGCUAAAAUGAGUAACUAGGGGACUCCCUCUUAAGCGCAACGUUACAUACCCAUAUUAUUAACAGACAAGUCAAUACAACAACUCCAACAAGACUAAAUAUUACUUACCCUGUUAACCCAACCUAGGAACGCCCAUUAGAAAGAUUAAAAUCUGUAAAAGGAAUUAGGCAAACUCAAGGCCCGACUGUUUACCAAAAACAUAGCCUUCAGCUAACCAAGUAUUGAAGGUGAUGCCUGCCCAGUGACAUCAUGUUUAACGGCCGCGGUAUCCUAACCGUGCGAAGGUAGCGCAAUCAAUUGUCCCAUAAAUCGAGACUUGUAUGAAUGGCUAAACGAGGUCUUAACUGUCUCUUACAGAUAAUCAGUGAAAUUGAUCUUCCUGUGCAAAAGCAGGAAUAAACACAUAAGACGAGAAGACCCUGUGGAACUUAAAAAUCAACGACCACUAUGUAUGAACCAAAACCUACUAGGCCCAUUACCAUCAAAACAUGGCCCGCAUUUUUCGGUUGGGGCGACCUUGGAGAAAAACAAAUCCUCCAAAAAUAAGACCAUACCUCUUAACCAAGAGCAACACCUCAACGUACUAAUAGUAACCAGACCCAAUACAAUUUAUCAAUGGACCAAGCUACCCCAGGGAUAACAGCGCAAUCUCCUCCAAGAGCCCAUAUCGACGAGGAGGUUUACGACCUCGAUGUUGGAUCAGGACAUCCUAGUGGUGCAGCCGCUACUAAGGGUUCGUUUGUUCAACGAUUAAUAGUCCUACGUGAUCUGAGUUCAGACCGGAGCAAUCCAGGUCGGUUUCUACCUAUGACAGACUUUCCCUAGUACGAAAGGACCGGAAAAGUAGGGCCAAUACUACAGCAUGCCCUCCGCCUAAGCAAUGAACUAAACUAAAUUACCAAAGGCAGCACCAACCCAUGACACAUCCUAGAAAAGGACCGCUAGCGUGGCAGAGCUGGUAAAUGCAA